rnacentral:rRNA from 1 species
UGGGGAUAUUGCACAAUGGGGGAAACCCGUAGCUGCAGCGACGCCGCGUGAAGGAAGAAGGCCUUCGGGUUGUAAACUUCUGUCGUACGGGACGAUAAUGACGGUACCGUACAAGAAAGCCACGGCUAACUACGUGCCAGCAGCCGCGGUAAAACGUAGGUGGCAAGCGUUGUCCGGAAUUACUGGGUGUAAAGGGAGCGCAGGCGGACUAGCAAGUUGGAAGUGAAAUCUAUGGGCUUAACUCAUAAACUGCAUUUGAAACUGUAUCUCUUGAGUGCUGGAGAGGUAGACGGAAUUCCUUGUGUAGCGGUGAAAUGCGUAGAUAUAAGGAAGAACACCAGUGGCGAAGGCGGUCUACUGGACAGUAACUGACGUUGAGGCGCGAAAGCGUGGGGAGCAAACAGGAUUAGAUACC